rnacentral:lncRNA from 1 species
AUUCCGUGUGCUGCGGCUAUCUGUACCAAAACCGACCGUUUCGUCAAUAACUUCGCGUACGCUCGUCGGAUUACCGAACCGAGCAUUUCAACGCGUUCGUUAGGUCCCCAAUUAGGUUUCUACAAGGCCAAUUUGCCUUAAAAACACCCGGAGGCAAAAGCCCCAAUUUCGGUGCCCUAACAAUGCCAUAAUCAAAUUUCUUGGGAUUGAUCUCAUAGCUAAGCAUAAUCGAGCUUAGAAUCACCCAAGAAGUUCUCUAAACUUACUUCCAUCUCAUUAGAAUCAUCCCUAGGGCAUUUAAAACAAACUCUAGGGUUCCACCAUUAGAGCACUAUGAAGGAACCAUGGAUUUCAUGUGUUCUUCGGCUACUAUGAAGCUCUAAAGCUUGUAGGGAGAUCAAAACCAAAGAUCUAGGGUUUAAAACUCAAACCCUAACCCUAAACUCACAAGAAAUCACCAAGGAGUUCAAGGCUUA